CGCUCGCUCGCCCGCCCGCCGCUCGUUCGCGCGGGCCGGAGGCUUCCCGCCUGCGCUCCGGGUCGGAGCCACUCCGGCGCGUGCGCGCGUGGUCUCGGGCCGACCCGAGUGGCCGGGUUCCCUCGGCUCCAGGCCCCCCGCCGCCCCUCCCGCCUCCCAGCCAACCGGUUCCGUUCCUCCCUUUCCUCACGGAAUGGGGCCGGCGCUGCUCGGGGUCGCGCGCCCUGGACCCGGCUCGCGCUCGGUCUCGCGCUGUCAGCCUCUGCCUGGCUCGCGCCGCCUUGCGCUUUCCCUCAGUCAGUGGCGCCGAAGGCUCCGUUAAGCAGCGGCCGCGGUUCCUGUUUCCGUUUCUUCCUCUCCCUUCAGUCGGGGAGUAGCAUCCUCCACUCCGCCACCCCUCCCACUCGCCCGGCGCGGCCAGCUGCAGUGGCUGUGGCGACGGGGGACGGCGCCGACCGCCUCGCUCCCGCCUCGGGUUGCUGCUCUGGCUUAGGCCAUCUGUGACCCUGGUGGUGUUUUCAUUCACUAUAAGUCCUUCCCAUCUUUAUUAACUGAGCAAGUUCAGGAGGGGUUCUUAACCUGUGGGUAGUGAUCCUUUUGAGAUUGAAUGACCCUUUCACAGGGGUUGCCUAAGUCCAUCAGAAA
rnacentral:lncRNA from 1 species